ensembl:lncRNA
GCCAGGAUUAAUAUUUGAGAGCUGACUUUUCCCUGCCUACUACAAAGUCCUAGAAACUGCAUCACUUGUGUGUUAAGUGAUGUGCAGUACUUCACUAUGUAUAAAUAACUCACUGAUAAGAUCUCAAUCAAAACCAUCAUAUCUUUUACUUUCUUCUCGGCAUAUUACAGCUAAAACUCCAGAAUAAAUUGAGAACAUUCUCUUAACUAUGGCUUAUAUUUACUGGUUAACAGUACAACUAAUCAGGGGAAAAAAUUCUUGAUUAUUACUUAUGGAGAAAAAAACAAUCAUUUCUUUAAAGCACAGAGGAAAACUAAAAGUGUAUGUUCUCUCCCUUACAACCACCAGUGUCACUAUAUAACAAAUUACCAGCAAGAGUCUGACCUGAUAAUCAAAAAAUUAAAAAUCUCAAAAUUUAAAACUAUCAAACUAAAUAAUAUAGUUGAUUAAAAAUCUAAUGCUGGAGAAUUUCCCAAAUAAUAAAAUAAGCCCAUGUUCAGUAAUCACAUUCUGUAUUUCAGAGAAGAGGCAUCAGGCAUUCAUGUCAUCCGUUUAUUUACAAACAUCUCUAGAAUGUCAUGUGAAUUCAAGUUUGAUCUGUUUCCAAAGAGAUUACACCUCUUGAGAAAUUCUUCACAUCUGCAAAACAAAAACAAAAUUUAAUGGCAUUUAAAAACUCCCACUCAUUUUAGAUAUCAUGUAACGCCAUUAAUACAUUGUUAGUCAGCUUAGCACAUCAGAAAGCGUUUACAGUAUCAUGACUAUUCAUACUGAUUUGCUUCAUCACAUGUGCCAUGAAAAAAAAAAAAAACAAACACAGAAGAAAAAAACCUUUAUGUUAAUGGCUCGAGUAAAUCAUUCUCCUUCUAAACUAUUUUCUCAACUAGGAAAAUAGGCUUUUCAUGUUAAGGUACCUUUUCUUUUUUGUUUUUGCUUAAAUCCUUUUAUUGGUACAUUUUAGGUAUACGAUACAUUUACAUUUAUCACUGGGCGCGUGUACCUGUAUAGGAUGUAUCUUGGUUCUUAUUUUUUCCCCAUUAUCUGUGCAUUCCUCAUCCCCUCGACCCUUCCCUAUUUACACACUUUGUUCACAUUUUGAAAUUUAUUUUAAUCAUCCUACAGAGCUUCCUAUAACAUCAUUUUGAAAAAUUCUGACCACAAUGAUAUUAAAUAUUUUAGUCACACAGAGGACUUGCUAACCUACCGAUACACAAGUU